CCUACGGGGGGCUGCAGUCGAGAAUCAUUCACAAUGGGGGAAACCCUGAUGGUGCGACGCCGCGUGGGGGAAUGAAGGUCUUCGGAUUGUAAACCCCUGUCAUGUGGGAGCAAAUUAAAAAGAUAGUACCACAAGAGGAAGAGACGGCUAACUCUGUGCCAGCAGCCGCGGUAAUACAGAGGUCGCAAGCAUUGUUCGGAAUCACUGGGCGUAAAGCGUGCGUAGGCUGUUUCGUAAGUCGUGUGUGAAAGGCGUGGGCUCAACCCGCGGACGGCACAUGAUACUGGGAGACUCGUGUAAGGGAGGGGGGAGCGGAAUUCUCGGUGUAGCAGUGAAAUGCGUAGAUAUCGGGAGGAACACUCGUGGCGAAGGCGGGUUCCUGGACAUUAACUGACGCUGAGGCACGAAGGCCAGGGGAGCGAAAGGGAUUAGAUACCCUAGUAGUC
rnacentral:rRNA from 1 species